rnacentral:rRNA from 1 species
UGACCUCGGUUCAGACGUGAUACCUAUUUUUUUUUAA